GCCAACAGAUUAUUCUUUGCUAACUGUUAAAACAAAAUUUAAACGGCUCGACACACUCACUCAGUAGAGAGGAACAGUAUAGGAAUCCAUGAUCUUCUUUCUGUGCUGCCUGAAUUAAUACAGAAUGUUGUGUCACAUAUUCAUAAUCCUAUUCUGUGUUAAUAGCUGUGUGGUUGGUAACGCGAUAAACUCAAAGGAAGAAUAUAUUUCUAGACGUAUUGGAGAAAAUGUGACAUUAACCUGUGAAUACUCCACUAGUAGCACUACUCCUUACCUUUUUUGGUAUCGCCAAUAUCCCAAUCAAAUUGAAUAUCUACUUUAUAGAGGAGCUAAGGGCUAUUCUAACCUGAAGCAUGAUGGAAACUAUGAAAAAGGAAAGUUUGAUUCCAUCACCAAUGAUACAUCCACUCAAUUAAUCAUCUUCAGUCUGACUGUGGAAGAUUCUGCUUUAUACUUGUGUGCUCUUAGCGAUGCAGCACAAUGGUGAUUGUGCAUCACAGUUCAGUGUAAAAACCUUCCUCUGUAAAUUUACUACAGACCCAGCAGGUGGCACAGUUCUUGCACAGAAAAACAUGAAUACUCGAUUCACUAAUACUUUUGUUGUAAGGUUUCAUUUAA